UUUGUUGUGGGCUGAAAACAUGUUAUUCAACAAGCCUUUCAGAUGUGGCUCCCCUUCCUAUGUCGCAUGCAGGCUCAUUAGAACACACUACCCUCCCUCUGAGAAUCACCACCCACAGCUUGAGAACUACCUUUGCAAAGGUGUGCCGUAUUUUUCUCACAAGCCAAUCAGAUCAGACUAGGCUUUUUUUGUGAGAGGGCUUAAAGAGACAAGUGCUAAAACUGAGCAUUUCAGACAGAAGGUGAUUAUAGCUAUCUUCAGACAAUUAGUAUGGAAAACAAAAUGUGUUUUUUGAACAUAAAAGCAUGUAAAUAUGUUCUAGCAAGAACCCAUAAUACAAGAAUGAAUGUAUAAACGGUCAUGAUAUGUCUUAUUUAAAGUUGCACGGAGCAGCAGGGCAUACGGGGGGCUCCCAAUGGCUGCGAGUGGUAACAGUCUGACAUAAAGUAAACCUAGAAAUCCUGAAAACCCAGAUAUGCUUUACCAACACAGCCAGUCAGUGAUGCUUUUAUUCCAAUUGAUACCAAAGAGAUAACAGGAGCAAAAAGAAUAACAGCAUGAAAUACGGCUUGGAAGAGUUGAAUUCAGCCUUCAUGUUCUGCGUCACCGUUGACCGCACAGUUCAUUCUAACAUUCAGGACUGGUCAUUUUCCUCAGCUUUGGACAGACUUAGGCUAAUGUUUUCUGAGCAGGCAGCACCAUUAAAGAGUGAGUCACACCUGAUCCCUCACACACAAAACAGCCUUUAUUUUAUUGUGAAGGACACAUACACAGCCUUGAGCAUGAUGUGAAAACCAAGACAAACUGUGUUGAGAGUGUUCUGGAGGCCAGGC